rnacentral:lncRNA from 1 species
GAUAAUGAGAGGAAAGAAAUCAUCACGGUAGAACACAAUCGAGCUCAUAGAGCCGCUCAGGAAAAUGUAAAACAGGUUUUGACCGAUUACUAUUUUCCCACGACGCCACGACGCCAAUUCCGUCGUGCACGGGAGAAAUGCUGCAUGUUGAUAUAUUCUCAACCGAUAGGAAAUACUUCCUGACAUGUGUGGAUAAGUUCUCUAAAUUUGCCAUCACGCAGCCAAUAGCCUCAAGCGCCAUUGCGGACCUAAAAGCUCCGCUGUUACAGCUUAUGAGCUCUUUUACAAAAUAACUUCGGAGUCUACAUCGCUCACGCGCCGCCACUCCACAGUACAUCGAACGGCCAGGUGGAAAGGUUCCACAGUACUUUGGUGGAAAUUGCCAGGUGCCUCAAAAUGGCUAAGGGCAUCACCGACACCGUCGAUCUAUUCCUGCAAGCAACCGUAGAGUACAACAGGUCAAUACAUUCGGUCACCAAUAAAAGGCCAGUAGACAUUUUUCACUCUGCUGUAGCAGGUGCCUGCAGGGAAAUACAGAAUAAGGUUCAAAAAGCUCAGAUCAUGCAAAACAACCGAGUUAACCAGACACGACAAAACAGAGUGUUUAGGGUAGGAGAAAAGGUGUUGGUAACAUUUUAAAGACGCCUCGGGAACAAGUUGACUCCGCUUUACGUGGAAGAAGCUGUGGAGACGGACUUGUUGACAACAGUCCUGAUUGGAGGGAGG